UGAUUUUCCUCGCAAAAGCGAGCACGCAGAAGCGUGGAAGCACUCCGCAGGUGCAAAACUGGGCAGCAACAUAAGGAUUGAACUUGGUCAUUUUUGCCAUUUCGUAUUGGAAAUUUUGGAGCUCGGAUUUAGGCGAUUUUGGAAGGAGUUUUCACAAACUUAGUUGGGGUAAGUGUUCUAUAUCCUAAAGUGUUUAUAUUUUAUGAAUCUAUGAUUAUAUUCAUCGUUUAAUGGAAGAAAUCAAGAUUUUUGUAAAAUUUUCCAAAAACGAAAAUUUAAGAUUUGGAGGUCGAGUUGUUAUCGGAAUUGGAUAAAAUUGGUAUGGUUGAACUCGUAUCAGAAUGGGUGUUUAAAUUUCAUGAAAAUUAUAUCGGGUUCCAAGAGGCGGGCCCCGCGUUGACUUUUGUUGAAUUUUUGGAAUAAAAUUUAAGUCGAGCGUAUUAUUAUCCGAAAUUAUUUUUGAUGAAUUUUAAUGAAGUUGUACAAUUAAUUUGGAUAGAUUUGAGCUGUCUGGAGGUCAAUUCAAACAAG
rnacentral:lncRNA from 1 species